rnacentral:rRNA from 1 species
GUGUCAGCAGCCGCGGUAAGACGAACCGUGCGAACGUUGUUCGGAAUCAUUGGGCUUAAAGGGCGCGUAGGCGGGUGGACAAGUCAGGGGUGAAAGCCCACGGCUCAACCGUGGAAGUGCCCUUGAUACUGUCCGUCUGGAGGGAGGUAGGGGCGUGCGGAACUUCCGGUGGAGCGGUGAAAUGCGUAGAUAUCGGAAGGAACACCGGUGGCGAAAGCGGCGCGCUGGACCUCUUCUGACGCUGAGGCGCGAAAGCCAGGGGAGCGAACGGGAUUAGAAACCCCGGUAGUCC